GAUGAACGCUAGCGGCAGGCCUAACACAUGCAAGUCGAGGGAGAGGUUACCUUCGGGUAACCAAAACCGGCGCACGGGUGCGUAACGCGUAUACAAUCUGCCUUUCACAUAGGGAUAGCCCGAAGAAAUUUGGAUUAAUACCUAAUGGUAUAUAAGAGCGGCAUCGUUUUUAUAUUAAAGCUACGGUGGUGAAAGAUGAGUAUGCGUUCUAUUAGCUAGUUGGAGAGGUAACGGCUCCCCAAGGCGUCGAUAGAUAGGGGUUCUGAGAGGGAUGUCCCCCACACUGGUACUGAGAUACGGACCAGACUCCUACGGGAGGCAGCAGUGAGGAAUAUUGGACAAUGGUCGGAAGACUGAUCCAGCCAUGCCGCGUGCAGGAUGAAGGUCCUAUGGAUUGUAAACUGCUUUUGUAAGGGAAGAAUAAGGAGUACGUGUACUUUGAUGACGGUACCUUACGAAUAAGCAUCGGCUAACUCCGUG
rnacentral:rRNA from 1 species